rnacentral:rRNA from 1 species
GACGAACGCUGGCGGCGUGCUUAACACAUGCAAGUCGAACGGAAAGGCCCUGCUUGCCGGGUGCUCGAGUGGCGAACGGGUGAGUAACACGUGGGUGAUCUGCCCCUUACUUUGGGAUAAGCCUGGGAAACUGGGUCUAAUGCUGGAUAGGACCAUGCUGUAGGUGGUGUGGUGGAAAGAUUAGUUUCGGUAAGGGAUGAGCUCGCGGCCUAUCAGCUUGUUGGUGGGGUAAUGGCCUACCAAGGCGUCGACGGGUAGCCGGCCUGAGAGGGUGGACGGCCACAUUGGGACUGAGAUACGGCCCAGACUCCUACGGGAGGCAGCAGUGGGGAAUAUUGCACAAUGGGCGCAAGCCUGAUGCAGCGACGCCGCGUGGGGGAUGACGGCCUUCGGGUUGUAAACUCCUUUCAGCCAUGACGAAGCCCUUGUGGUGACGGUAGUGGUAGAAGAAGCACCGGCUAACUACGUG